rnacentral:rRNA from 1 species
UGGGGAAUAUUGCACAAUGGGCGCAAGCCUGAUGCAGCAACGCCGCGUGAACGAUGAAGGCCUUCGGAUCGUAAAGUUCUGUUGCAGGGGAAGAUAAUGACGGUACCCUGUGAGGAAGCCCCGGCUAACUACGUGCCAGCAGCCGCGGUAAUACGUAGGGGGCUAGCGUUAUCCGGAUUUACUGGGCGUAAAGGGUGCGUAGGUGGUCUUUCAAGUCGGUGGUUAAAGGCUACGGCUCAACCGUAGUUAGCCUCCGAAACUGGAAGACUUGAGUGCAGGAGAGGAAAGUGGAAUUCCCAGUGUAGCGGUGAAAUGCGUAGAUAUUGGGAGGAACACCAGUAGCGAAGGCGGCUUUCUGAACUGCAACUGACACUGAGGCACGAAAGCGUGGGUAGCAAACAGG